rnacentral:rRNA from 1 species
UACGUAGGGACCAAGCGUUGUUCGGAUUUACUGGGCGUAAAGGGCGCGUAGGCGGCCACCGCAAGUCGACUGUGAAAUCUCCGGGCUUAACCCGGAAAGGUCAGCCGAUACUGCGGGGCUAGAGUGCAGAAGGGGCAACUGGAAUUCUCGGUGUAGCGGUGAAAUGCGUAGAUAUCGAGAGGAACACCUGCGGCGAAGGCGGGUUGCUGGGCUGACACUGACGCUGAUGCGCGAAAGCUAGGGGAGCGAACGGG